rnacentral:rRNA from 1 species
AGAGUUUGAUCCUGGCUCAGGAUGAACGCUGGCGGCGUGCUUAACACAUGCAAGUCGAGCGAAGCAAUCUAAGUAAAGUUUUCGGAUGGAUCUUGGAUUGACUGAGCGGCGGACGGGUGAGUAACGCGUGGAUAACCUGCCUCACACAGGGGGAUAACAGUUAGAAAUGACUGCUAAUACCGCAUAAGCGCACGGCAUCGCAUGAUACAGUGUGAAAAACUCCGGUGGUGUGAGAUGGAUCCGCGUCUGAUUAGGUAGUUGGUGGGGUAACGGCCCACCAAGCCGACGAUCAGUAGCCGACCUGAGAGGGUGACCGGCCACAUUGGGACUGAGACACGGCCCAAACUCCUACGGGAGGCAGCAGUGGGGAAUAUUGCACAAUGGGCGAAAGCCUGAUGCAGCGACGCCGCGUGAGUGAAGAAGUAUCUCGGUAUGUAAAGCUCUAUCAGCAGGGAAGAAAAUGACGGUACCUGACUAAGAAGCCCCGGCUAACUACGUGCCAGCAGCCGCGGUAAUACGUAGGGGGCAAGCGUUAUCCGGAUUUACUGGGUGUAAAGGGAGCGCAGACGGCGAUGCAAGUCUGGAGUGAAAGCCCGGGGCUCAACCCCGGGACUGCUUUGGAAACUGUAUGGCUAGAGUGCUGGAGAGGCAAGCGGAAUUCCUAGUGUAGCGGUGAAAUGCGUAGAUAUUAGGAAGAACACCAGUGGCGAAGGCGGCUUGCUGGACAGUAACUGACGUUCAGGCUCGAAAGCGUGGGGAGCAAACAGGAUUAGAUACCCUGGUAGUCCACGCCGUAAACGAU